rnacentral:rRNA from 1 species
AGAGUUUGAUCCUGGCUCAGGACGAACGCUGGCGGCGUGCUUAACACAUGCAAGUCGAGCGGUAAGGCCUUUCGGGGUACACGAGCGGCGAACGGGUGAGUAACACGUGGGUGAUCUGCCCUGCACUCUGGGAUAAGCUUGGGAAACUGGGUCUAAUACCGGAUAUGACCUCAUGCCGCAUGGUGUGUGGUGGAAAGAUUUAUCGGUGCAGGAUGGGCCCGCGGCCUAUCAGCUUGUUGGUGGGGUAAUGGCCUACCAAGGCGACGACGGGUAGCCGACCUGAGAGGGUGACCGGCCACACUGGGACUGAGACACGGCCCAGACUCCUACGGGAGGCAGCAGUGGGGAAUAUUGCACAAUGGGCGGAAGCCUGAUGCAGCGACGCCGCGUGAGGGAUGAAGGCCUUCGGGUUGUAAACCUCUUUCAGCAGGGACGAAGCGUGAGUGACGGUACCUGCAGAAGAAGCACCGGCUAACUACGUGCCAGCAGCCGCGGUAAUACGUAGGGUGCGAGCGUUGUCCGGAAUUACUGGGCGUAAAGAGAGCGUAGGCGGACAUUUAAGUCAGGGGUGAAAUCCCGGGGCUCAACCUCGGAAUUGCCUUUGAUACUGGGUGUCUUGAGUGUGAGAGAGGUAUGUGGAACUCCGAGUGUAGAGGUGAAAUUCGUAGAUAUUCGGAAGAACACCAGUGGCGAAGGCGACAUACUGGCUCAUUACUGACGCUGAGGCUCGAAAGCGUGGGGAGCAAACAGGAUUAGAUACCCUGGUAGUCCACGCCCUAAACGAUGAACACUCGAUGUUGGCGAUAUACGGUCAGCGUCUAAGCGAAAGCGUUAAGUGUUCCACCUGGGGAGCACGCCCGCAAGGGUGAAACUCAAAGGAAUUGACGGGGGCCCGCACAAGCGGAGGAGCAUGUGGUUUAAUUCGAUGAUACGCGAGGAACCUUACCCGGGCUUGAAAGUUAGUGAAUGUGACAGAGACGUCACAGUCCUUCGGGACACGAAACUAGGUGCUGCAUGGCUGUCGUCAGCUCGUGUCGUGAGAUGUUGGGUUAAGUCCCGCAACGAGCGCAACCCUCGUUCUAUGUUGCCAGCACGUAAUGGUGGGAACUCAUGGGAUACUGCCGGGGUCAACUCGGAGGAAGGUGGGGAUGACGUCAAAUCAUCAUGCCCCUUAUGUCUUGGGCUUCACGCAUGCUACAAUGGCCGGUACAAAGGGCUGCAAUACCGUGAGGUGGAGCGAAUCCCAAAAAGCCGGUCCCAGUUCGGAUUGAGGUCUGCAACUCGACCUCAUGAAGUCGGAGUCGCUAGUAAUCGCAGAUCAGCAACGCUGCGGUGAAUACGUUCCCGGGUCUUGUACACACCGCCCGUCAAGUCAUGAAAGUCGGUAACACCUGAAGCCGGUGACCCAACCCUUGUGGAGGGAGCCGUCGAAGGUGGGAUCGGUAAUUAGGACUAAGUCGUAACAAGGUAACC